rnacentral:rRNA from 1 species
UACGUAGGGGGCAAGCGUUGUCCGGAAUCAUUGGGCGUAAAGCGCGCGUAGGCGCCCGAUCAGUCCGCUGUAAAAGUCCAGGGCUCAACCCUGGAAAGCCGGUGGAUACUGUCGGGCUAGAGUCCGGAAGAGGCGAGUGGAAUUCCUGGUGUAGCGGUGGAAUGCGCAGAUAUCAGGAGGAACACCGAUAGCGAAGGCAGCUCGCUGGGACGGUACUGACGCGUGGAGGUGACGAAAGCGUGGGGAGCGAACAGG